CUAGCUAAAAUAAAUUAAGCUACCAUUGUUGAUGAAAAAACAACAAAACAAAUAACGAACAUGAUUAAUAUCAUAAGUAAAAUAAAGAUAAGGAAGAAUAAACUCUAAUUGAUUCAGUAGUCCUUUGAAAAUCGAUCAUAGUGGCUUCCUCCAAUCCUCGUGUUUGCUCUUUCGCAAAGUGCUUCUCAAGCUGGCCGGCCAAGAGAGUAUUUUAUCAAGGAAUUGCUAGAUAAGGGAAAGGGAAAAUGGGGGUGGCUAUGCGUAAAAGGAAGAGGAAAAUGAAAUGAGAGAAAAGAAUGUGAAGUGAAGAAUGAGGGAUGAUGGAAUGAGAAGUGAGGGUUGAUAUUUAUAGUAGAGAGGUGACGUGAGUGUUUGCUAAAAAUAGCUUGAGGGAUCCCUUUAUAUGCUCCCUUACUUGGCCGACCAUGAAUUAUGGAUAGGGGAGAUUGUUGGUUGCUUGAUUCAUGAUUCAUGCAUGAAAUCAUGCUCAAAUCAAGCAAGGUGGUGGACGGUUUCAUAGGUGAUUGUUAAUAGCUGAUUUUUAAGUAUUUUUCAAGUAUAAACCUUUGAAAAAUUCCUCUAAAAGCUAAUUUUGGGCUACAUAAAUGCCCUUGCCAAAUUGUCCUUCUACCCCUUUUGGUUGGACGAUUUUGUGACCCAUAUAGUUGUAAGACUUGUCCUUCAAUUUAAUCAUCUUUAAUUGGAUCAAUGUGACCUCUUCAUGACCCAAAUUACAUGCAUUUGCGUUCCAACUAGGUAGAAUAAGUAUCAUGCCAAUGCAAAAUUAAAAUAAGCUUCAUAAAUUAUCAACUCCAUGGCCCCACUGCAACAUUUAAAUAAAGGAAAUUAAUAUGUAGCAUGAAUUAAUUAAAUUAUGCAUAAAAUUAAUACAUAAAAGCAUAAAAUUGCAUACUUUAUUAAAUCAUGUCCAUUAUCAUAAUAUGAACAAAAUUCACCCAAUUAACUAUCAAAUACAUGGGAUUAACAUUAUUUUUAAGUAAAAAGGUGUCAUAAAUUACUAGAAAAAAUCUAUAUAAUUUAGAGUUUACAAUAAGCAAGUGGAAAAAAGAGUGUGUAUAGAAAGUGGCAGGAGUGAGAGUAAAAAGAAACUAGUAGAAGCUAGUAAUUGAAAAAAUAUACAAAUAUUUGUAAUUUGCUCCUUUUGUAUACGUAUUGCGUGAACAAUAAAUUUAUUUUUAUUUCAACCAUUGCAGCAUGCACUUGUCAAUCAAUUUAGUUGAAAAACAUUUUGGGCAAACUAUCUUUUAUACAAGAAGGUCUAAUUACAUUUUUUUUACAACAAGUCCACAAUAUCUCUUGCAAAGAAUCUGGUGUCCCAUAGCCAAAGCAAGCUCAUCAAUAAAAAGUAUCAUUUUUACAAAGCCAUUAAAAGCGAAAAUAUUUUACAAACUUAAAGGAAAGCUCCGUUUAAGGGGGAGUUUCAGUGUCAACCGAAUUUAACAAGUUAAAAAUAUCAAAGCAUGUUGGCAAACCAUAUGAUAAGUUGAUGAGUUGGCAAGAAAUGAGCAUACAAAUGGCAACAUGGCAAUUACCUUUGGGGUUGAAUGAUGAUAGUAAAUAAUGACUUUAAGUUUACCAUGCAAAUCGAUAAGCAUUGUUGAAAGUGCUUGAAGUUUCAUGAAAGAUAAAUGGAGAUAAGUUGGGAUGAUGGAUAGCAACGUGUUAGGAAGUGAGGAUGCAGACUGUUUAUAAAAGUAACUUAGCAUGAUUCUAAGGAUUAUCCUUAAGUAAAUAAUUAUAAUAAUAGAUAAAUAUGAUAGCAAAGGAUUAGCUUCAUGUCAUGAAAUAUUCUAAUGAUAUGCAAGUGUACACAGUCGUCAACAAGUAGUAAAGUAGUAAGUAAAAAAGUAUCGUCUCCAUAGGGACUGUAUUGGCAAAUAUUGUGAAAUUUAUCACUUGAUAAGUUGGUGAUUGAAAAUAAUUAGGAAUGAAUUUAGUUGAAUUAAUUAAUCUAAUUACCAAGUAUGCAAAAAUAAAUGGAAAUGUAAACACAGAAUAAUAAUCACAAUUCCCAAGAUUUAAUUACCAUGACAUGAGGGAGUUAGAUUAAUUAUCUUCUUUUAACUUAGAAUUAUUAAAACAAUGCCAAUGAUGUUACAGAAGAAAAUCAUGGCAAUUCAGCUAUUUAUUAACCCAAUAUGAAUGAAUUAUGAAGUCAUACUUAUUUAAUUAUUAAAUUUAUCUAGCAUACUUCUAUGUUCAAUCAAUUCAACAAUUUCAUAAGCAAAAAUCAUAAAAGGAUUAUCCAAGGUAACAAUAUUGUUUAAUAUUAUUACUAAUUUAAUUAUUAAAUGAUCAAUAUGCACCACUCAAACACUAUGUCAAUUAAUUACAACCUUGUUUAGAUUAAAUAAUUAAUUCAAUUGCUUCCCUAUAUCCAUAAUCCAUGAAUAGCAUGUUCAUGUUUUUAAUUGAAUGUAUAAACAACUAAAGCACAUAAGAACAUUAACAUAAUAAUAACAAUCUAAGCUAAUAGAAUGCAAUUAAUCUAACAUCAAUAGAAUUAAGUCAUUUUAAUUAAAUUAGAAGCAAACAAAUAACUGGCAAUCAUAUUCAUCAAUGUAGAACAAAAAAAGAUUAAAGGGAAAGAAACUAGAAGACAAAUCCAGUGCUUCUCUGAAGCACAACUUGUAAUUGCUUUCCUCCUUCUUUCUUCUUUACUCCUUUGCACAAUUGCCCCUUAAGGUGUUGAAUUUUUCUACUCAACAGAACUUCUGAAAUACUACUCUCAAACUCUUAUGUUGCUCUCUCAAAUGGGAAAAGAAAGAAUGGGAAAUGGGAGAAGAAAUGAUGAAUGGUGGAUGAGUGAAAUGAGUGAAUUGCUAGCCCUUAUCUAUACUUGUUGAGGUUGGAUACUUUGAGCAAAUGGAGGCCUUGAAUUUCAAUAGACGCGUGGUCGACCCUUG
rnacentral:lncRNA from 1 species